UACCACUUGUUCUGCGUAACACGUAUUGAGACCGCUCAUCAGACCGUGAACACACACUAGUGUGCAUGUUGAACUACAGAAGUGUCUUCCGGGAAGCACGUCCGCAAUCAAAUUGUUAAAAAAAAUUCAACAUAUCAAGAUCUUAGAGGGCAGUAGCUUCAAAGCAUAGAAAUGUUUCCCCUUGCAAUAAUCAUUGGCCUCCUGGCUGUCUUUUGUGGCUACUUUGCAAUACACGUUGGUUUAUUCAAGAGAUGCAGACAGAACGUGGGAUGUGCUAUUUGAAAACUUUAAAAAAGGAUUAGAAGACUACUUCAAAAAUUUUCAGACAUUUUGACACGUGUGUCGUUCAAGACAUCAAGAAUGUUUCUUGCGUUAUGCAUAAUUAAUUUUGUAUAGUUUUUUGCUUCUGUGUCAAUCAAUUUCAGUUUACACUUGACUACGGUUACUGAAAAAUGUAUUGUUUGGUUGCAUGCAUGCUUGACUUUUAAGGCUCCUCUACAGUAGUCUCUAAGGGUAUUUUCAUCAAGAAUUCAUAAAGUCCCACGUCCUUGUGUUCUUCAAGAAAAGUAUUAGUCCCUAAAGCUUCCAAUUCCUGUUCUUUUUGUAAAUCCCCCUGAAUGUAGUUUAGAUUUGCUAAAAAUUAGAUGUUCGAAAUUUCUGGGAAAAAAGAAAACAAGGUUUUUAAUAGACUUACUCCAUGAGCUUCUGUUUCGCUACUGCCUCACUUGACGGACGCUACAACAAAAGUCUAUGUUUUUAAUAACCUUUUUGUUCACUUUUCGGUUGUAUUGGAACUAUUUUGGAUUUACAUUUCGAAGUUUUUUUAGUAAAAAGCGAUUAAAAAGAAUGUACUCACA